UUUGCUCUCGAAUAACUGAAUGAGUUAUUGAUCUCUGUUCGGUUCAGACAGGAGCAUAUAGUGACGGUAUCGAACUUGUUGCUCGGAUGGUUUUUUAAUCUUCUGAAUGAAUUAGUUUGCAGUUUUGGAACUUUUUGUUCCUUUACGAAUUUAC
rfam:Helianthus annuus linkage group 8, whole genome shotgun sequence.